GGACUACCCGGGUAUCUAAUCCCGUUCGCUCCCCAUGCUGUCGUGUCUGAAUGUCAGAAUCGGGCCAGGACGCCGCCUUCGCCUCAGGGGUUCCUCCGGAUCUCUACGCAUUUCACCACUACACCCGGAAUUCCACGUCCCUCUCCCGUUCUCUAGAAAAACAGUCUGGCAUAACCCCGCCCAGUUAAGCUGAGCGAUUUCAUACACCACUUGCUUUCCCAUCUGCACACGCUUUACGCCCAGUAAAUCCGGAUAACGCUCGCCACCUACGUUUUACCGCGGCUGCUGGCAC
rnacentral:rRNA from 1 species